rfam:Clostridium grantii DSM 8605 genome assembly, contig: EJ34DRAFT_scaffold00009.9
GCGAAAUCUUAUUAAUAAUUAAUAGCCAUUAAAUUAUUCUCUAAUCUCCUACAUGCUUUUAAUUCUAACUAAUUAAGGGUAUGAAGCUAGGUAAAGUCGUAAUCCAUAGUGAUGCGGGAGUCUUUAAA